UACGGAGGGUGCAAGCGUUAUCCGGAUUCACUGGGCUUAAAGGGUGUGUAGGCGGAUUUUUAAGUCAGUGGUGAAAUCUCCGGGCUCAACCCGGAAACUGCCAUUGAUACUAUUAGUCUUGAAUUCUGUUGAGGUGGGCGGAAUACAUCAUGUAGCGGUGAAAUGCUUAGAUAUGACAUAGAACACCAAUUGCGAAGGCAGCUUACUGCCCGAAUAUUGACACUGAGGCACGAAAGCGUGGGGAUCAAACAGG
rnacentral:rRNA from 1 species